GUUGAAGUAGCCUAGUGGUUAAGGUGAUGCACUGCAUGCUGCGUAACCAGAGUUCAAAUCCCUGUACAGCA